AGACUUUCAUCCCAUUGUUCGAAAAGCAGUUUCGCGAGAUCAGCACGAUGGCACAGCAAUCGUCUCAGGGAGUGCUCUCGCGACAGAUAUCGUUCGCGGGAGAACAUCACAAAAUGGAUGAAACUGCUUCUGAUGUGAAUUAUUUACGACCUUCAGAUUACAGACGGAUGUCAAAUAUCGCCCGUGGAGAAAAUGCUGAGAGACGAAUGAAAAACAUGCGAUCGGAAUCAGUACUACCUGCUAAAAUGUAUAAGGUAACACGACCGACGUCUUCCGUUACAGCGAAG